CUUUCACAGAUUUGGUGAACCUUACCUUAACCGCAUGCAUUUCACUAAAUGGGAAAGAGAUGCAAAACAUACUAGUCCUUUGCCUCGUACUGGCCUCUUUUCAAUUCUGUGCAUCUGAUGGCAACAACACAUUUGAUGCAGCACUCGAUGGCAAUGUCACUUUGAUCUGGAAAUUUCCAUUCAAGUUGGACCCUGAAAGUAAUUUAGUUGUGCACAUCCAGAAAAGUGAAGAAUCUUCAGUGGACAUUAUUCAUUUAGAUCAAAAAGGACUAAAAGUAUUCCCAGACUUCGUUGGAAGAGUUGAACUACUGCAAAAUUCUUUUCCAAAUGGAGUUGUUGCUCUAAAGAUGGACAACGUCAGCGUCCCAGACACUGGAGCAUACAAGUGUUUUAUAUUGAUGUCUUCUAAAAAAUCAGAUGCACUCUAUGGAGAUCAGGGACUGUGUCAUUUAAAAGUUCGAGCCCCAUGGAGCCCAGUCCAUAAAAGCAAUGUGUCCAUUGGGAGUGGGGUAUACACCCUUCGCUGUGACGCUGAAGGGUAUC